GGCGGCGGGUGGUGCAGGCUCGGCCCCAGCGCUGAGGGAGCACUGAGCCGACCCAAGGUCUGCAAGGAGUUCGCGGCACCCGCCCGCCCACGCCGGACCCGGAGGGCACGUCCGCCGGGAGGGGCAGUUCCCACGAGGAAAGUCCCAUUGAUGCGAGUUGGCAGUGUAGAGGAUGCUCCCCUCCGGCCGCCGCGGAAGCCGUCGUCCAAAUGCAGGCGAGCGGGGAGGAGGAGGCCGGGAUGCGGCCGGCGGGCCACCUGCUCUCGCCGGCCUGCCAGUCUCCUGCUUGCUCUGAAGCCCUGCCAUAGACGGCCCCGCUCCCCCGUGUAUCCACUGAAACAUUUUUUUAUAAAAACGCUGCGCACAGUUUUAGACUCCUUUCCUGGAAUCGCUUUGCUCCAACUAAGUUAACACGUAACAAAGUUUGUUUUCCAGCCUCGCCCUUGAUCUUCAGAAUGCCCCUCUCGGCUAGGAGGGCUUCUCCAAGUGGAAGUGGUUAGGCAGUUUUGUUUUUGGCCGCCAGGCGUAGGACGCGAGAAGGGGGUGCAGCGGCCGGGGACCAGGGCGGCGGUCCCCGCGGUGGGAUCGCGCCAGCGCCGGGAGGCCGGGGAGAGGGUGUUCUCUGCCGGGAGCCGAGGCGAGGCUGCUGGGUACUGUGUCCGGCUUUUAUGGCUCUGCAGCUCCUAGGAUCGUGGCUCAUGCAGGUGUUGUGGAUUAAUCUAUUUUAUGCAUAAGCCUAUUAACAUUAGGGAUUUUAAUUCUAGAAACUGCUUAGUUAAUACGUAUGUGUACACACACACACACACACACACACACACACACACACACACACACACACACACACACACACACACACACCUGGCCACUGACCCAGCAGCUUUCUCUUGAACUACAUUUACUUUAAAGAGAGGAGCGAUUUGUCCUCUCCAGUUCCUCAGCUCAUCUUUCUAUUCCAUGAGACUGAAAGUUAAUUAAAAGUGGAGAUCUAGCCUUAACCAGUUCUGUUUUCCCAGCUCCCAGUUAAUGCAAUAUCUGGCACAAAUAAGUAUUCAAUAAAUAUCUGUUGGAUGAGUAA
ensembl:lncRNA novel transcript